GGUGCCUCUGACUCCCGAGUGCUGAGAUUAAAGGUGUGCACCACCACACCCGACAAGGAAGCCUGUUUUAAGAAGUGAUUCCAUGGAGGAGUUCUGCGGCGGCUCAGGGCUUGACUAAACAGUGGACCUCAGUUUUUUUUUUUUUUUUUUUUUUUGAGACAGGGUUUCUCUGUGUAGCCCUGGCUGUCCUGGAACCCACUCUAAACCAGUCUGGCCUCAAACUCAGAAACCCACCUGCCUCUGCCUCCUAAAUGCUGGGAUUAAAGGGUGUGCCACCACUGCUCUGCUAGUCUAAGGCUUUCCAGAGAAGGAUCAUGUUCUUGCAGGGUCCCAUUUCUCUCAGUAGACAAGAGAGGCUAAACCAGGCUGCAGGUGACAGGAAGAAUUGAAUAAACUGAAAGCAAAGGGCAGCCUUCUAAUUACGCUUCGUGGCUAUGUGGACAACCUGGAGAAGUCUGGAAACAAGCCAGCAGUAGAGCUCUGACUGGCUUGUAUGCCUAGAAAGGAAGGGCUCUUCUUUCGCCUCACGGGCACAAAUGGGACCCACGAGCGCCGAUUUCAGACUAUUCUGAUCCCUUCAAAAAGAAAGUUAGGAGUCCAGGCUACUAGACUUAUGACAGACAAGGAUGGAGACAGCUAAGGAACUGGCUAUUAAUCACCAGUCCCUCUGCUCACAGCCCAUUGGGACACCUUAGGGUUCCUGCUGCAGCUCCAGAACUGGGGGAGCAGGGUUGGGGGUGAGUGUGUGUGUGUGUGUGUGUGUGUGUGUGUGUGUGUGUGUUGACUCACCCUGCAGUAUUCUCUCCAUCUGCACAGGUCCCCAGUCUCUGAGACUGAAUCACCCCUCUUUCACUAUGCCUCUGCACAGCUGCCCUUGUGCUCCCUCUCCUUGCCCCGCCUCUUUUUAAGACAGUAUUAUGCAGCCCUGGCUGUCCUGGAACUUAUGUAAACCAGCCUGGCCUUGAACUUGCAGAGAUCCACCUGCCUUUGCCUCUGCCCCUGCCCCUGCCCCUGCCGAUUGAAA
rnacentral:lncRNA from 1 species